AGAGUUUGAUCAUGGCUCAGGACGAACGCUGGCGGCGUGCUUAACACAUGCAAGUCGAGCGGUAAGGCUCCUUCGGGAGUACACGAGCGGCGAACGGGUGAGUAACACGUGAGCAAUCUGCCCUUCACUUCGGGAUAACUCCGGGAAACCGGUGCUAAUACCGAAUACGACCACCUCAGGCAUCUGAUGGUGGUGGAAAGUUCCGGCGGUGAAGGAUGAGCUCGCGGCCUAUCAGCUUGUUGGUGGGGUAAUGGCCCACCAAGGCAACGACGGGUAGCCGGCCUGAGAGGGUGACCGGCCACACUGGGACUGAGACACGGCCCAGACUCCUACGGGAGGCAGCAGUGGGGAAUAUUGGACAAUGGGCGAAAGCCUGAUCCAGCAACGCCGCGUGAGGGAUGACGGCCUUCGGGUUGUAAACCUCUUUCAGCAGGGACGAAGCGAAAGUGACGGUACCUGCAGAAGAAGCACCGGCCAACUACGUGCCAGCAGCCGCGGUAAUACGUAGGGUGCGAGCGUUGUCCGGAAUUAUUGGGCGUAAAGGGCUCGUAGGCGGUUUGUCGCGUCGGGAGUGAAAACUCAGGGCUUAACCCUGAGCCUGCUUCCGAUACGGGCAGACUAGAGGUAUGCAGGGGAGAACGGAAUUCCUGGUGUAGCGGUGAAAUGCGCAGAUAUCAGGAGGAACACCGGUGGCGAAGGCGGUUCUCUGGGCAUUACCUGACGCUGAGGAGCGAAAGUGUGGGGAGCGAACAGGAUUAGAUACCCUGGUAGUCCACACCGUAAACGUUGGGCGCUAGGUGUGGGACUCAUUCCACGAGUUCCGUGCCGCAGCUAACGCAUUAAGCGCCCCGCCUGGGGAGUACGGCCGCAGGCUAAAACUCAAAGGAAUUGACGG
rnacentral:rRNA from 1 species